UACGAAGGGGGCUAGCGUUGCUCGGAAUCACUGGGCGUAAAGCGCACGUAGGCGGACUCUUAAGUCGGUGGUGAAAUCCUGGAGCUCAACUCCAGAACUGCCUUCGAUACUGGCGAUCUCGAGUUCGGGAGAGGUGAGUGGAACUGCGAGUGUAGAGGUGAAAUUCGUAGAUAUUCGCAAGAACACCAGUGGCGAAGGCGGCUCACUGGCCCGAUACUGACGCUGAGGUGCGAAAGCGUGGGGAGCGAACAGG
rnacentral:rRNA from 1 species